GAUGAACGCUGGCGGCGUGCCUAAUACAUGCAAGUCGAGCGAACAGAUAAGGAGCUUGCUCCUUUGACGUUAGCGGCGGACGGGUGAGUAACACGUGGGUAACCUACCUAUAAGACUGGAAUAACUCCGGGAAACCGGGGCUAAUGCCGGAUAACAUUUAGAACCGCAUGGUUCUAAAGUGAAAGAUGGUUCUGCUAUCACUUAUAGAUGGACCCGCGCCGUAUUAGCUAGUUGGUAAGGUAACGGCUUACCAAGGUAACGAUACGUAGCCGACCUGAGAGGGUGAUCGGCCACACUGGAACUGAGACACGGUCCAGACUCCUACGGGAGGCAGCAGUAGGGAAUCUUCCGCAAUGGGCGAAAGCCUGACGGAGCAACGCCGCGUGAGUGAUGAAGGUCUUCGGAUCGUAAAACUCUGUUAUUAGGGAAGAACAAAUGUGUAAGUAACUGUGCACGUCUUGACGGUACCUAAUCAGAAAGCCACGGCUAACUACGUG
rnacentral:rRNA from 1 species